CACAAUUCUAUUUGGCCUAUAGCAUUUGCUUGGUUCAUCUUCAGAUUAUGUCUGUCUGAUAUCUAACAAACCAUGUACUUAAGUAGUUAAAUUGCUAUCUGUGGAACACUUUAGCAGCCCACAGCUUUGAAACAAUCUGGGGAAGACUAGCUUCUUUCGAACGAAUGUCUAACACACACACACUCAUACACCUGUACUGUAUUAGUCAAACUAAACCUAUAGGCAUUAUAAAAUAGCCUUCUUAGCCUAAUCUCAAAAAUACAGAAUUUAGCUGGGCAAGGUGGCUCAUACCUGUAAUCCCAGCACUUUAGGAAGUCAAGGUGAAAAGAUUGCUUGAGGCUAGGAGUUCCAGACAAACCUGGGCAACACAGCAAUAUCCUUUCUCUACAAAAAAAUAAAAAAUUAAUUGGGUGUGGUGGCAUGCACCUGUUGUCUUGAACUCCUAUGCUCAAGUAAUCCUCCCACCUCAAACUCCCAAAUAAUCUUAGCUGCUAUGAAAGUUCAAGGUUACAUUUAGCUAUGAUUGUGCCGCUGCUCUCUAGCAUGGGCAACAGAGUGAGACCCUGCCUCUAAAAAAAAAAAAACCAAAAAACAAAAAACAAAAAAUCAAACAAAAAUACAGAGUUUAUUUUUUUUAAUGUCACAAUGGUGAAUAUGGAUGUUAUGAACUAAAUUGUAUCCCUAGCAAAAUUGAUAUGUUGAAACUCUAACCCCAGUACCUCAGAAUGUGAUGACAUUUGGAGAUAGGGCCUUUGAAGGGGUAAUGAAGUUAAAAUGAAGCCAUUAGUUGUGGGCUCUAAUCCAGUCUGACUGGUGUCCUUAUAAGAGGAUUUUAGGGCAUACAGAAAGAUGUGCACAGAAGGAGGACCAUGUGCAAAGACAAGAAGAUGGCCAUCUGCAAUUCAAAGAGAAAGACUGACAGAAACCAAUCCUACCAGCACUUAAUCUUGGACUUCCAGCCUCCAGAAUUGUGAGAAAAUAAACUUUUGUUGCUUAAGCCACUGUUUUUGUCCAUUUUCUGUUGUUAUAACUGAAUACAUGAGACUAGACAAUUUAUAAAGAAAAUAAACUUAUUUCUUACACUUCUGGAGGCUACGAAGUCCAAGAUUUUGGUGUGGGAAACUAGUAGAGGCUUCCCUGCUGCUCAUAACAUGACAGAGGGCAUUAUGUGGUGAGAGGGCAAGAGCAUGUUUCACCUCAGUUCCUGCUUCCUCAUUUUAUAAAACUACUAAUCCCAUCAUGAGGACCCCCACUUUAAUGACCUUAUCUAAUCCUAAUUACCUCCCCAAGGCCCUACCUCCAAUCAACACAUAAAUUUGAGCAUUAAGUUUCCAACACAUGAAAUUUGGGGGACACAUUCAAAUGAUAGCAGCCACCAGGUCUUUGGCAUUUUGUUAUGCCAGCCUGAUAUGGUUUGGAUCUCUUCCCACCCAAAUCACAUGUUUAAUUGUAGUACCCAGUGUUGGAGGUGGGGCCCGGCAGGAGGUGAUUGGAUCAUGGAGGUGGAUCUUUCAUGAAUGGUUCAGCAUCAUCCCCUUGGUGGUGGUUGUGAUCGAGUUCUCACAAGAGCUGAUUGUUUAAAAGUAUGGGGCACCUCCCCCAACUCAUCCUCCUGCUCCAGCCAUGUGAAGUACUGGCUUUUUCUUUGCCUUCUACCAUAAUUAUCUGUUUCCUGAGGCCUCCGCAGAAUCCAAGCAGAUGCCAGCAUCAUGCCUGCUGUACAUCCCACAGAACUGUUAGAAAAUAUCCAGAAAAAAUUGUGAAUAAAUCAGAGGAGAAAUGGACAUUACCCAGAUGUCAGGCUUGAAGCUUCAUAAAGUAACUGAAGAGAAUUUGGAAAACAUUGACCCUUGAACAACACAGGUUGAACUGUGUGAGUACACUGAAAAAUGGAUUUUAUUCCACCUCUGCCACCCCUGAGACAACAAGACCAACCCCGUUGUCUUCCUCCUCAUCAGCCUAUUCAAUAUAAGGACAACCAGGAUGAAGACCUUUAUUAUGAUCCACUUCCACUUACUGAACAAGGUUCUUCUUGGAAUCUUCCUAAUGUUUCAGGCAUAACUGUUCACCUCAUGGUCAGUAUCAGUUUCUCCUCUGACAAAUCAUAUGUGAUUAAAAAUACAAGCAUCUGUUGCGAGGUCUUUAGUUUCAUAGCACAGACUUGACUAUUCUUAUACUACAAUGUUUUAAUUAUUAUAACUUUACAAAUAUGUUUUAGUAUCAGUAAAGCAAGUUCCUUCUCCUUACUCUUCUUUCAUUUAUAUUUUUUCUUGUAAUAUUUGUUCAUGUGUUAUUCCAGAAGCAACAUAAAAUACUUUAAAAUUGUUUUAAAUUCUGUUAAUAUGUUUUUGUUUUGUUUUGUUUUGAGAAGAGUCUUCCUCUGUCACCCAAGCUAGAGUGCAGUGGCUCAAUCUCCGCUCACUGAAACCUCCACCUCCCAGAUUCAAGCAAUUCUCCUGCCUCAGCCUCCCAAGUAGCUAGGAGGUGCAACCAUGUCCAGCUAAUUUUUGUAUUGUUUUUAGUAGAGAUGGGGUUUCACCAUGUUGGCAGGCUGGUCUUAUACUCCUAACCUUAGGUGGUUCACCCACCUCAGCCUAUACUUUAGUAUUUAAAUUACAAACUACAACUGUAAUUCACAGAAGAGGGAGGCCAUAUUUAAUUUAUUUUGGAAUUCAAUUAAAAUUUAUAGGCAUAAUAUUUUCAUGUUUGCUAAAAGACAUUGCUUUAACAUAUUGGAAAACACUAACUUUGAAAAUAAUUAAAAUGAAUAUACUAUGUAUGAAAACUUUUAGGUACAAAGUCAAACUUGAAGCAGUUCUAUGGUAUUUUUAUUAUUAGCCGAAAGAAUUAAAAUAAAUUCACUACACAUAAUGCUUAAAAAGGUAGAAAGAAAACACAACAUCUAAAGUAACCAGGACAAAAAAAUUAAUAAAUUCACUUAUAGAUUUCAAUUCAAAAAUCCUAAGUAAAAUGCUCAAUAAAAAAAUGAAAAUAUACUUCAAAAUGAUCAAUGAAGGAAAAAGUUGAUACUUAAGAGGAAAAUCUGUUUCUUUUGUAUUAAUCAAAAAAGAAGUUUAACAACCCAGAAGAAGGUUGAAAUUUUUUUCUAAACCGUAAAGAUAAAUUAACGUGAUUAAGAAUUUCUAUUUCUAACCAAAUUCUCAUCUUAUAUUUAAUAAAGCACCCCUAAUCAAAGUUAAAUAUAGGAAUGACAUGGCUGGCAUCACCAUCUCUAUUUUUCCUGGAAUUCAAACUAAUGCUUUGAAAUAAACCAAAACAAGAAGGAAGGAAGGAAGGAAAAUGAAGAGAAAGAAGGGUAGAGGAGGAGGUGGAGGAAGAGAAACUGUGGUAUAAAUAUUGGAAAAAAACACAAAUAUACUUGGAUUAUAAUAGGAUUAUCAUCAGUGCCCUAAGGAAAUAUUAGCUACUAAUUAAAAAGGCACAGAAUUUCUAUGAAAACAAAAGCAAACUAGAAAAUAUUACAAAGAAAAAUAUUUAAAUGAAUGGCCAUAUAUUUCCUACUGUGUGUGUGUGUGUGUGUGUGUGUGUGUGUG
rnacentral:lncRNA from 1 species